rnacentral:rRNA from 1 species
AGAGUUUGAUCAUGGCUCAGGACGAACGCUGGCGGCGUGCCUAACACAUGCAAGUCGAGCGGAGUUAAGUUCGACACUGACACCUUAAGUAUCAAGCGGCAAAAAGCGUUCUCGAAAGGCAUCAUUAAGAAACAUUCAAUCAAGGCUUUCGAGCAUGCUGUAGCAAGUGCCUAAUGCAUAUUAAAGAUGUGAGUGUUGAACUUAACUUAGCGGCGGACGGGUGAGUAACGCGUGGGCAACCUACCUUUUACAGGGGGAUAACACAGGGAAACCUGUGCUAAUACCGCAUAAAAUCACAAUACGGCCUCGUAUAAUGAUCAAAGGAGCAAUCCGGUAAAAGAUGGGCCCGCGUCCAAUUAGCUAGUUGGUGGGGUAAAGGCCUACCAAGGCGACGAUUGGUAGCCGAACUGAGAGGUUGAUCGGCCACAUUGGGACUGAGACACGGCCCAGACUCCUACGGGAGGCAGCAGUGGGGAAUAUUGCGCAAUGGGGGGAACCCUGACGCAGCAACGCCGCGUGAAGGAUGAAGGUUUUCGGAUUGUAAACUUCUUUGAUGAGGGACGAAACAAAUGACGGUACCUCAAAAACAAGCCACGGCUAACUACGUGCCAGCAGCCGCGGUAAUACGUAGGUGGCGAGCGUUGUCCGGAAUUACUGGGUGUAAAGGGCGUGUAGGCGGGAAGACAAGUCAGAUGUGAAAUACCGAGGCUUAACUUCGGGGCUGCAUCUGAAACUGUUUUUCUUGUGUGUCGGAGAGGAAAGUGGAAAUUCCUAGUGUAGCGGUGAAAUGCGUAGAU